ACGGGCCGUAGGGUCGCCCCUGCCGCCCGUGGGGGAAGUCCGGUCGAAUUCCGGCGCUGACCCGCAACGGUAGGCCGAACGUCACGCUGCACGACGCUCGGCGAGCCCGAUCACCCGUGGGCGGUGGGAAGAAGCU
rnacentral:ncRNA from 1 species